AGAGUUUGAUUAUGGCUCAGGAUGAACGCUGGCGGCGUGCCUAACACAUGCAAGUCGAACGGAUCCAUGCUGAAACCUAGUGAUGCAUGGAUUAGUGGCGGACGGGUGAGUAACGCGUGGAUAACCUGCCGUAUACUGGGGGAUAACACUUAGAAAUAGGUGCUAAUACCGCAUAAGCGCACAGUCUCGCAUGAGACGGUGUGAAAAACUCCGGUGGUAUACGAUGGAUCCGCGUCUGAUUAGCUUGUUGGCGGGGUAACAGCCCACCAAGGCGACGAUCAGUAGCCGGCCUGAGAGGGUGAACGGCCACAUUGGGACUGAGACACGGCCCAAACUCCUACGGGAGGCAGCAGUGGGGAAUAUUGCACAAUGGGGGAAACCCUGAUGCAGCGACGCCGCGUGAGUGAAGAAGUACCCCGGUACGUAAAGCUCUAUCAGCAGGGAAGAAAAUGACGGUACCUGACCAAGAAGCCCCGGCUAACUACGUGCCAGCAGCCGCGGUAAUACGUAGGGGGCAAGCGUUAUCCGGAUUUACUGGGUGUAAAGGGAGCGUANACGGCGGCGCAAGUCUGGAGUGAAAUCCCGGGGCUCAACCCCGGAACUGCUUUGGAAACUGCGCGGCUCGAGUGC
rnacentral:rRNA from 1 species